rnacentral:rRNA from 1 species
UACGGAGGAUCCGAGCGUUAUCCGGAUUUAUUGGGUUUAAAGGGUGCGCAGGCGGGAGAUUAAGUCGGCGGUGAAAUUUUGCAGCUCAACUGUAAAAGUGCCUUCGAAACUGGUUUCCUUGAGUGUAGAUGAAGUAGGCGGAAUUUGUGGUGUAGCGGUGAAAUGCAUAGAUAUCACGAGGAACUCCGAUUGCGCAGGCAGCUUACUAAACCAUAACUGACGCUCAGGCACGAAGGCGUGGGGAUCAAACAGGAUUAGAUACCCGCGUAGU